UACAGGGGGGGCAAGCGUUUGUUCGGAAUUACUGGGCGUAAAGGGUCUGUAGGUGGCCAACUAAGUCAGACGUGAAAUCCCUCAGCUUAACUGGGGAACUGCGUCUGAUACUGGAUGGCUUGAGUGUGGGAGAGGAAUGCGGAAUUCCAGGUGUAGCGGUGAAAAUGCGUAGAUAUCUGGAGGAACACCGGUGGCGAAGGCGGCAUUCUGGACCAUAACUGACACUGAGAGACGAAAGCCAGGGGAGCAAACGGG
rnacentral:rRNA from 1 species